rnacentral:rRNA from 1 species
CUGGCUCAGGACGAACGCUGGCGGCGUGCCUAAUACAUGCAAGUCGAACGGUCUUUCUAUGGAAGCUUGCUUCCACUGAGAAGAUAGUGGCGAACGGGUGAGUAACACGUGGGUAACCUGCCCAUAAGAGGGGGAUAAUAUCCGGAAACGGGUGCUAAUACCGCAUAGUUUUCUUGAUCGCAUGAUCGGGAAAGGAAAGACGGCCUUUGUGCUGUCGCUUAUGGAUGGACCCGCGGCGUAUUAGUUAGUUGGUGAGGUAACGGCUCACCAAGACGAUGAUACGUAGCCGACCUGAGAGGGUGAUCGGCCACAUUGGGACUGAGACACGGCCCAAACUCCUACGGGAGGCAGCAGUAGGGAAUCUUCCGCAAUGGACGAAAGUCUGACGGAGCAACGCCGCGUGAGUGAAGAAAGGUUUUCGGAUCGUAAAACUCUGUUGUCAGAGAGGAACAAGUUGGAGAGUAACUGCUCCAGCCUUGACGGUAUCUGACCAGAAAGCCACGGCUAACUACGUGCCAGCAGCGGC